rnacentral:rRNA from 1 species
GUGGGGAAUCUUGCACAAUGGGGGCAACCCUGAUGCAGCGACGCCGCGUGAGCGAUGAAGCCCUUCGGGGCGUAAAGCUCUUUCGACCGGAACGAUAAUGACGGUACCGGGAGAAGAAGCUGCGGCUAACUACGUGCCAGCAGCCGCGGUAAUACGUAGGCAGCAAGCGUUGUUCGGAGUUACUGGGCGUAAAGAGUGCGUAGGCGGUUUUCUAAGUUCGGUGUGAAAUCUCCCGGCUUAACUGGGAGGGUGCGCCGAAGACUGGGAAGCUGGAGUGUGGGAAAGGCAGGCGGAAUUCCUGGUGUAGCGGUGAAAUGCGUAGAUAUCAGGAGGAACACCGGCGGUGUAGACGGCUUGCUAGACCAUAACUGACGCUGAGGCACGAAAGCGUGGGUAGCAAACA